GCCCUUCCUGUUUAACAAAAACAUGUCUUUUUGAUUAUAAUAUAAAGUCUAACCUGCCCACUGAGAAUUUUGAAGGGCCGCAGUAUAUUGACUGUGCAAAGGUAGCAUAAUCAUUUGCCUUUUAAUUAGAGGCUGGAAUGAAUGGUUGAACGAGGUAUAAACUGUCUCAUUUUUAUAAAUUUUAAUAACUUAGCUUUUUAGUCAAAAGGCUAAAAUAUUUUUAGAGGACGAGAAGACCCUAUAGAACUUUAUAGAUAUUAUUGUAAAAAAUUUUAGUAAAUAAUUUUUAUUUUUAUAUAAUUUAUUUAUUUUGUUGGGGUGACGGGAAAAUUUAAUUAACUUUUUUGAAUUUUUAUACAUUGAUUUAUGAAUAUUUGAUCCAUUUUUAUUGAUUAUUAGAAUAAGUUACCUUAGGGAUAACAGCGUUAUUUUAUUGGAGAGUUCUUAUCGAUAAUAAAGUUUGCGACCUCGAUGUUGAAUUAAAGAGAUUCUUGAGUGCAGAAGCUUGAGGUAAUAGGUCUGUUCGACCUUUAAAUCUUU
rnacentral:rRNA from 1 species